AAGAUUUGGAGCUAAGCCCUCCCUUCUCCCUGUGGGGAAAAAAAACCCUCAACCCAGGCUGGGGAAGGGAGGGUUUAUUUGCUCACUCGCCUUUUUUUCCCCCCUAGGUCGUUGUUAUCGGUCAUAGUUUUCAUUGACUACGGAGUCAAACUGUAUUCCUUUCCUGAACUGACAGAGCAUGACUGGCUUGAACAUGGCUGCAGGUUUGCAAGACUUCACACCGAGGAGUCCUUGAUCCAUUCAGAAACAAAGAGAAACUGUUUUUGAUUCAGGGGCUUGCUGUCCUCCCAUGCCUGGGGUACUUUGCAUUACAGCGUUUAUGAUUGUGGCCCUGGAGCCUUGAAGAGCUGGGAUUGAAUCCAGUUCUGUCCCUGUUUCCUAUGUGACCUUAAGUAAGUUAUUUAACCUUUUCUGUUCCCUUGUUCUCAGGGGAGAACGGGAUCUUCCUCACAGAGCUGUUAGGGCACUAAGCUACCGUUUAUUGAGUGCUUACUGUGUGCUGGGGCACAUGUACCCUGCCAUUUAGCAUUCGCAGUGACUUCAUGGUGGGGGCGUCCAGGGGG
rnacentral:lncRNA from 1 species